UACGUAGGGGGCAAGCGUUGUCCGGAUUUAUUGGGCGUAAAGAGCGUGUAGGCGGUUUGGUAGGUCCGUUGUGAAAACUCGAGGCUCAACCUCGAGACGCCGAUGGAAACCAUCAGACUAGAGUCCGGAAGAGGAGAGUGGAAUUCCUGGUGUAGCGGUGAAAUGCGCAGAUAUCAGGAGGAACACCGAUGGCGAAGGCAGUGGGCUGGGCCGGCACUGACGCUGAGGAGCGAAAGCGUGGGGAGCGAACAGG
rnacentral:rRNA from 1 species